rnacentral:rRNA from 1 species
GUGUCCUGCGGUGUCGGUCUACCGAAUGCGGUACGACAGGCACGUCUGCGGGGCUUCUCGCCGGUGCGUCCACCGCCGGCGUGUGUCGGUCGGCCUCACGGUCGGCCGCGCACCGAGGCGGGCCGUCGCGGCUGUUUACUUUGAACAAAUUAGAGUGCUCAAAGCGGGCUAACACUUGCCUGAAUAUUGUACGCAUGGAAUAAUAGAAUAGGACCUCGGUUCUGUUUUGUUGGCUUUCUGAUACCAGAGGUAAUGAUUAAUAGGGACGACUGGGGGCAUUCGUAUUGAGACGUUAGAGGUGAAAUUCUUGGAUCGUCGCAAGACGGACUAAAGCGAAAGCAUUUGCCAAAGGUGUUUUCAUUAAUCAAGAACGAAAGUUAGAGGUUCGAAGGCGAUUAGAUACCGCUGUAGUUCUAACCAUAAAUGAUGCCAGCCAGCGAUCCGCCGAAGUUUCAUAAUUUUAACCCGGUGGGCAGCUCCCGGGAAACCAAAGCUUUC